rnacentral:rRNA from 1 species
AAUGAACGCUGGCGGCGUGGCUAAGACAUGCAAGUCGAACGAUACGGUCGAUUGGGUAACCGAGAGAUCGUAUAGUGGCGAAAGGGUGAGGAAUAGAUAGGUAACGUACCCCGUGCUUCGGGAUAGCGUUCCGAAAGGAACGGUAAUACCGGAUAAUAUCAGCGAUUGCAGGAUUGCUGAUCAAAGAUUUAUCGGUGCGGGAGCGGCCUAUCUCCUAUCAGCUAGUUGGUGAGGUAAUGGCUCACCAAGGCGAUGACGGGUAGCGGGACUGAGAGGUUGACCCGCCACAUCGGGACUGAGACACUGCCCGGACCUCCACGGAGGGCUGCAGUAACGAAUAUUGGGCAAUGGGCGAAAGCCUGACCCAGCGACGCCGCGUAUAGGAUGAAGUUCUUCGGAAUGUAAACUAUUGUCAGGGGCUCGAAAGCCGUAAGGUUGAUCAGCCCCAGAGGAAGUCACGACUAACUUCGUG